rnacentral:rRNA from 1 species
UACGAAGGGUGCAAGCGUUACUCGGAAUUACUGGGCGUAAAGCGUGCGUAGGUGGUUUGUUAAGUCUGAUGUGAAAGCCCUGGGCUCAACCUGGGAAUUGCAUUGGAUACUGGCAGGCUAGAGUGCGGUAGAGGAUGGCGGAAUUCCCGGUGUAGCAGUGAAAUGCGUAGAGAUCGGGAGGAACAUCUGUGGCGAAGGCGGCCAUCUGGACCAGCACUGACACUGAGGCACGAAAGCGUGGGGAGCGAACAGG